UUAUCGUCGGCACGAAGACCACACAUAAUAAGACCUGAGUAGUGAGGACUCCAUCUUAGGACUCCAGUCACCUUUCCCCAAUGCUAUCCGCAUAUCAGCCUGUAUCACCUAAUCUUUUCUGUCGGAUGUGAGAUUUUCCUAACGGCAAUGGCAGGACUUCUUCCCAUCUUUAAAACAACUUUCUGACAGGUUGGGGAUUAGCAGGACUGCCUUCAAAGCCAAGUCUAUGUGUGAGCAGAUUUACUCAGAACACAGGGAAUAAUUAAGCCAAGGCCCUGCUUUACGCUGCAACCAACUAGAACCGAAACACUUUUUACCUGCAGAAGGACUAGAUUGAAGACACCACAAUGUUACUCGAAGCAUUUGAUUGUUACAGCUUCUCAUGCUCCCUUUGUUGUGUCGUUUUUUUUAACCUCUGAAUCACUAAUGUACAUUAGAUCAAGUAGACUAGAGCAGUGGUUCCCA
ensembl:lncRNA